rnacentral:lncRNA from 1 species
UGACUUUUUAGCUUUUAAUUACUUUUAGUGUCGUAUUUAAAUGAUUUUCCUGCCUUUUAACAGGCUGUUCUGCUCCUGAAAUAAAUGGGGGAUGUGGGUGGGGAAUUAAUUGUAAAGAAAAUAGAAUUAUGUGGGUACGUGGCUGGUGACAGGUAAAGGGCAGAUUUAUCGAGGUUGAAUCCUAGCUUUUCUGCCUCCGAGCCCAGUAACCUCCAAGACGCUAAGCCUACCCGGAAAAUGGGGUUAAUAGCGGUACCUACCUCACAGGGCUGCUGCCAUAACUCACGUGAGGUUCCCAGCACAUUAUUGGGCAUCUGAUGAAUGCUCAGUUAGUAGUUUUAAUAUUAUUAACAACACUGUUUUAUUAUUUAUAAGAAAAAUGAGUCUACUAGAAAAAUCAAUCUCCUCAUUUCAUGGCUUUCCUCUGUUUUUGACUCAAACUGUUACUUUCUUGGUUGCGCAUCAGAACCAGUGCGCUAGGGGACCCCUGGUGGCUCAGGGCGUGACCCCGGGGUCCUGGGAUUGAGUCCCGCGUCGGGCUCCCCGCAGGGAGCCUGCUUCUCCCUCUGCCUCUGUGUCUCUCAUGGAUAAAUAAAAUCUUAAAAAAAAAGAAAAGAACGAGUGGGUUAGUUUUUAAAUGACUCUUUGCUGUUUUCACAAAUUCAGAAAUGCAUACAAGUCUGCAAAACUUGUGCCUACGCUAGGAAUGUUCUGUUGAGCGUGAGGCCGGCCCCUCCCAGUUCCUCUGCCAUUGGGAGCUCGGCUCCGUGGGUGCCGGGUCCCCCCAAGGGUCUUCCGAGAGGGGGUAACAGGGUUUUGAAAAUGCGAGGUGGUGUUCGUUAAAGCAAGCUCCAGCCUAUGAGGGCUGCGAUGGGGACCGUGGCCCCUUCCCCGCCGCAGGAUGUCCUGUGCGCUGCGACCGCGAGCGUCCUGGGUGGGGCGAGGGGGCCCGAGGCCGGGCUGCGGGCGCGCGGGUUCCCCGACGGCCCCGGGGUUCUUGUGGGCAAAGUCGGGCCGGGCGCGGGUCGGAGGGGACCAGGCCGCUGCCCUGCAGGUGGAGGCCCCGCCGCCAGCGCCCCCCCGACUCGGCCGCAGGAUCGUUCCGGAGAGGAAAGCGGGUCCCGGCCCAGCGUUGGGAGACGCGUGUGCCCCGCGCCCCGGAGGUGCAGGUCUCCAUCCAGCCUUCUCAUGCUGGGAUGGUUGGAUGACAGUGCAAGUGGACGAGGGUCUAGGAUCCAGACUGCUUCAGACUCCAUCACCAGCAUUUCCCCACAUGGAGCCUGCAAGACCUUCUCCAUCUUCACUCUUCCCACCUCAGUUCUGCACAGCCUUCAAGACCUUGCUCAGCACGUGAAAGGAAGCAUUUCAUGCAAGUUUCAUCUUCCAAAAUAAGCCCGGCAAGAUGGUCAUCCACAGACAACCGAGGCAUUUCAUCGGGGACCCACCUCUUAGUAUCCUGUACGCAGAGAGCGCUGGGGGUAGAAGAACUCCAAUCCCACUGAGUUGAUUUGCAGAGCACGGAGAUAUUCACACACACAGACACACACACACACACAAAAUCCUGUAUCACUUGUUAGCACAAAUAAUAAAUAAAUAGGUAAAUGUGUUGAUCUGGGUUUU